UACGUAGGGGGCGAGCGUUGUCCGGAGUUACUGGGCGUAAAGCGCACGCAGGCGGUCUGUUAAGUUUGGAGUGACAGUUGGUGGCUCAACCACCAAAGUGCUUUGAAAACUGAUAGACUUGAGGGCUUCAGAGGGACACGGAAUUCCGGGUGGAGUGGUGAAAUGCGUAGAGAUCCGGAGGAACACCAAAGGCGAAGGCGGCUACCUGGACCAGCACUGACACUGAGGCACGAAAGCGUGGGGAGCAAACAGG
rnacentral:rRNA from 1 species